rnacentral:lncRNA from 1 species
AUAUUUUUGCUAUUUGUCUCACCUCCUCUAUUCACUACACCCCGCGAAGGGAUGUAAUAAAGGGAGUUAUUUCCAACUUGAAGUGACAAUCGAAACGGAUUUAUUUAUUUAAAGAAUUCAGAGUCGCCACUUGGGAUAUUUGUGGCGUCCCAAGUCAUCGGUUCAAAUCCUGAAUCGACAAAAAUGUUGACUCUGUAUUACAAUCCGUGAACAAGAAAUCCGGGUAAGGAAUUCUAAUAACUCGGGAGAAAGAGUUGGGCAUUUCCGAGUUCGUGGUCUAGCACGGUCGCUCAAUUGUUAUAAUUGACCUAUUAUAUUAUUUUAAUACAAGUUUUAGUCUAUGGUUCAAUUUUAAUUUUAUAACCACUUUUAUUUCUUUUUUAAAGAAAAUUACAACGUCAUUUAAAAUAUGUUUCGGACCACGUCACAUAAAUAUACCUGCAGUCCAUAAUACAUUUUAUCUAACAUUGAGAUUUAGAUUUGGGUUACAUAAAUGUGCACCUGAGUUUAGGAAGGUAAUGUUAUUAAUGUACGCGCCUAAAGCAACUACGUGUUUUAAUUUUGCAAAAUGGUACGCCUCGAAUUCUAAGGUUAAGUUAAAACUAAUUAAAAGCGGGCCAAGCAAUUGUCAUUUUGGUUUGGCAUGGAGCACCUCAACUAUUUAAAAUAUUUCGAAACUUAAUUUUUUAGGGCCAUAGAUUAUGAUUUUGUCGAACAUGGCCCGCCUCAAGCCUAAACCAAAGUCCAACUAACUAGCUAAGGCUUAACAUGAUUUGAAUUUAAAAUAAACAGAUGCAUAAGUCUGCCUUGAGAACCAGCAAAAUAAGCGUGAACUCAACAGUGGGCUGCACGAGAAGCCCAACUGCCUUGAAAGGGUCUAAUUGGCAUGUUCACUAGCCUGUUCGCCUAGAACCCCAAAGAGAUGAUUUCAAAGUUUUGGCUCAAAUAAAGCCCAAAUCUAACAAGGGAGGGAAAGUGUUAGCAUGCUGACCCUAAUCGAUCAUAUGCUAAUUUAGCUUAAUGCGACUAUAGCAAUUGAAAGCCAAACGUUGUUAUGCUAAUUUGAAGUUCCUUAAUUAAUACCAACAAAUUUUAUUCCUGAAUUUGAUUACUUAAACAAAGAACAAACCCAAGAAACUAAUCUGUAUAGAAGCUAAACACCUGACAAACAAAUUAGCUUGUGGCUACUAUGAAUACAUGAAUGAACCUUUCCUAAUGACCAACUUGCUUUUAACAAUAUGCCAUAACACUUUUAAAACAUGAUAGGCCAUCAUUAUCGAUAAUUGUUCUAAUACAGAAUAGCACACAAACGAAGUACCUAUUUUAACUAAUCUUACAGCUAAAGUCGCAUAUUGAAGAAAUAACUGCUGAGGUUCAUGACAGUCCCAAAUUAUCAUACAUUUAGCUUCAUACCCAAAACACAAACUUAGCUAGUAAUCCAUAUAAGGCUGUAAAAAUCGCGGUUAUGAACCGGAACUGGAUCGGAACCGCGGUUCUGCCGGUUCCGGCGGUUCCGGAUCCGCGGUUCCGGUUCCGGUGGCUCCCCGGAAUCGUGAUGGGGCGGUUCCACCCGCUGGAACCGCGGAACCGGAACCGCCAGAACC